AUUCUGUGGGCAUGUCUGCUGGCGUCGCCAGCAACAUGCCCAGGCAGUCGAGACCAUCAAGACUGCGGCACGGCUUGCCGUGCUGGUCCCCCAAUCCUCUCCGGACGCAUCUCGCGUCCCUCUCAUGCACCCCAACGGGAGUUUCCUCCCUUGGGGCG
rfam:Acidomonas methanolica NBRC 104435 DNA, contig: Amme_059.